GUCGCCUGUUUAUCAAAAACAUCUUUUCUCGUUAGUUUUUGAAGUAUGGCCUGCCCGCUGACUUUGGUGUUGAAGGGCCGCGGUAUUUUGACCGUGCAAAGGUAGCAUAGUCAUUAGUUCUUUAAUUGUGAUCUGGUAUGAAUGGCUUGACGAGGCAUGGGCUGUCUUAAUUUUGAAUUGUUUAUUGAAUUUGGUCUUUGAGUUAAAAUUCUUAGAUGUUUUUAUGGGACGAGAAGACCCUAUAGAGUUUAACAUUUGUUAUGGUCCCCUUUCUGUUUGUGAGGGUUCAUUGGGCCGUUUAAUAUGUUUUGUUGGGGUGAUGGGAGGGAUUAAUUUAACCCCUCCUUUUUAUUAUUAUAUUUAUUUAUAUUUACUUGAUCCAUUUAUUUUGAUUGUAAGAUUAAAUUACCUUAGGGAUAACAGCGUAAAGAAA
rnacentral:rRNA from 1 species